ensembl:lncRNA
UAUUUUUCACCUGUGGUUCAAGCACAUGAAAUUAAUGGUAAAAAUAAUACUUUGAUUUUGAUUUCCCUAAGUUGCUAAAUUGCUGAAGUUGAGCUCAAAGUUGCAAUCCUUCUGUCUUGGCUUCCUAGAGUCUUGUGAUUGUAAGAGUGCACCACCGUACCAGGCCUUUAAGAACUUUUUCAGUCUGAAAUUUGCACAUGAAAGACUGGAACAAGAAACUUGUGCUUUAUGAACUCACAGAUGCAAGAACUACAGGUCACCUUAGCCAUCAUGCACUACAAUUUCCCUAUCUCAGAGAACAGGAAAAUAACACCCCAAGCAGACAUCCAUGUAAGAACACACAAAUGGUGCAGAGUCGAGACUGGAACCUAUGUCUUCUAAGUCCCGACUUUUGUUUUUCUUACAGCUGGCUGAUGGAAUUAUUUUAUUUACUUGGAGGGAUAUAUGGUCUGGGACAUAAACACAAACAUCACCAAAGAUGGAAUUACUGAGCAGAGGGUCUGCCUCAAAUGCUGAAGUUGGAGAAUAAGGAAAAUGGAAGGAGAAUUUUGUCCUGGAGUGCUGCCCAAAUUCAGGCGGAUGGAGGAGUGAUCUCCUAGCCCCAAUUGUGCUACCUGUGCUACCUUGACCUUGUAUUAUAGAUGCAGUCAUUCUUUUUUUCUCACUAAAGAAUGAAUUAUGGAUAUUUAAAAAGUAUCUUAUUUCUACCUCAUUUCUCAUUUUCUUUUAUCCUCACCCCAAUCUUUCUUCAUGAAGAUUUUCCUAUGUUAUCUGUUAAUGCCAGAAUUCAUUCAUUUUUAACAGUGAAUGACUUAUUGGCCAGCUGUACCUCUUCUUUCUUGAAGUGUCUGUUCAUUUCACUUGUCUUUUAUUUUGGGGAGUCUAUUUUUUUGAGUUCUUUAUAUAUUCUAGAUACUAGUCCUCUGUCUGAAGAAUAGCUGGCAAAAUUUUUUCCCAUUCUAUAGGUUGUCUUUUUACUCUGUUGGUUGAAUAAAUACAUGAAGAAAUGCUCGGUUUCUCUGACCAUUAGAGAAAUGCAAAUUAAAACAACACUGAGAUUCCAUCUUGUCCCAGAAAGAAUGGCCAUCAUUAAAAAAUCAAAUAAUAACAAAUGCUAGAGGGGCUGACUGGGGAAAGGAACUCUUUUACAUUGCUGGUGGGAGUGUAGACUAGUACAACCACUAUAGAAAUCACUAUGAAGAUUCUUCAAAAUUUAAAAAUAGACAUUUCAUUCAAUCUAGC